GGCUUUGUGGUGUAAUGGUCAGCACACUGAGCCGGUAUUUCAGAGGUCCGCGGUUCGAUCCCCGGCGAAGGCA
rnacentral:tRNA from 1 species